GUAGCCACAGGUUCGAUGUGGCUGGGGGGAAUCAAUGAACAGGGGGUUGGGACUUCCAACGGAGUGCCCUCUCUCUCUGUGGAGGAGCAGUGAAGUUCAGCAGAGGGUACACAGCUUGCAGUCAGGUUGGGAUGUUUGGCUUUGGGGUCAGCAUGACUUUGGAUUAAAGGAGGGCUUGCUUUUGCACCAGUGGUUGGCACUGAGCACCACCCCACGCUGACCCAAGGACACCUGCUGGACCCCGACGACGGGACUCAGUGCCCUGCUCUUGCUGGAAGGCCGGCUCUUCAUUCGAAUCCAAUCCAAGAAGGUCCGAGGCUGAGAGACAAUGCAGGUUCAGACUCUGGUGGGAGAAGCAGGCCUGGGCAACAAGGUGCACUGCGUGGUCUUCUCACUCCCCUUGGAGGUAGAAAAGUAAGCCCCAUCACUGUUAAUCCAUCAUCACUGGAAGUCGAAGGAUGGGUAAGGAUGAAACAGGUGAUAAAAUCAGCAUUGGAGACAGGGAAGACAAGGCAUGCUCCAAUGAAGUGAAAAGAAUUAAAAUCCCUCUGUAACCAUUGUUAGAACAAUCCUGCAUAAAUCAAAGAUAUUUUAAGAA